AUCAAUCCCAAACAGAUAGUGGCCGACUUUCAAAUUCACGUUUCUAUUGAAGAAUCAAGGGAAUUGACUGAAGUUAGAGUUCCUCCAAUACGUAAUGAGUUGGAGCAAAAGUUGGAAAUCAAAGCUGGCAAUACAUUAGCGGUUGUGAGUAGGCCAACCUCAAAAUCCGCUAGAAUUUCAUACAGUCCUUCAGAGGCGGAUCAAAGGCAGAAUUCGGAGCGGGGAAUAUCCGGGCUCUUCAUUGUAGAAUACGACAUAGACAGGAAAACAAACGCAGGCGAUGUAAUGGUCGUUGAUGGCUAUUUCGUACAUUUUUUUGCUCCUUCGGACAUGGAAGAAAUUCCAAAGGACGUACUCUUGAUUUUGGACGUUAGUGGAUCAAUGUAUGGUACCAAGUUAAAGCAGAUGAAGGACGCAGUAUUGGGUAUUUUGAGUGACCUGCACGAGGGUGACCGCUUUAAUAUCUUGAAAUUCAGUUCUAGUCUUUCCUUCUACAAGGAAUCUUCAGUGACAGCGAACACGAAAACUGUGAAAGAGGCAAAAAGAUACGUGAAAAACAUGGUUGCAACUGGAGGAACAAACAUAAAUAGUGCUCUCCUGGACGGAAGCAACUUCCUUAACAAGGCGGAGAACUUCAGAGAAAGAGCGCAGGUCAUAUUUUUUCUGACAGACGGGCAGCCUUCUUCAGGGGAGACAAAUCUAAAUAAAAUUCUAGAAAAUGUUCGAAUUGCAAACUCGAAUGCUUUUCCCAUAUACAGCCUAGCGUUUGGUCAAGGGGCGGACUACAAUUUCAUCAAAAAAGUUGCCAUACAAAACAACGGUCUGAGUCGCAAGAUCUAUGAGGAUUCAGAUGCUACACUCCAGAUUAAAGGAUUCUACGACGAAGUUUCUGCGGCCGUGUUAAAAGACGUUUCAUUCAAAUAUUUAAACAAUGCAUCAAGCGUACAAAAUCUGACAAAGAUUUCCUUUCAUUCAUAUUUAUUGGGAUCAGAAAUAGUUGUUGCUGGAAAAAUCGAGAACAAAGAUGUUAAGGUGCUUGAUUUGUCAGUAGAAGGUUUAGGAUCUCAAGGUACAGUAGAACUUUCUCUUUCUGCGGAUCUGGAUGAUAAUUCGUUUCCUGAGCUUACCAAACCGGGUGACUAUGUAAAAAUCACAGAGAAAAUAUGGGCGUACUUGACCAUCAAGCAGCUUCUUGAAAAAUCUGUCGGUGAAACGGAUCCGACUGUUAAAGAGGACAUAAAGAAACAGGCGUUGGAGCUCUCCCUAAAGUACAAGUUUGUAACCCCGCUGACAUCGAUGGUUGUCGUCAAACCCGAGAAGAAAGAAACUUCUAGUGUUGACGAAGAGGACGACGUGGCAGACAGUAAACCACCCCCAGCCUUCUUAAUCAUGAAUACACGUUCUAAAAUCAAGUUACAUACGAGAGAGAGAGAGAGAGAGAUUCAUUCUUUGCUUGCUAUCUUUUGUAUGAUACAUUUGCUCUUAAACUUACAGCACUUAGGUACAUGUGCAUUGUUUAUACAAUACUCGUACAAAUCAAUUAUGAAAUCAUAGCCCAGAUGAAUUCUUAGUCAAUAAAAAAACAAGACGUUCGUCUUAAGAUAUUGU
rnacentral:misc_RNA from 1 species